GCGACAUCUGGACACUGCGUGGCGCUGGCGCUGCCGGAGCUGCGGGCCCGGCCUGGCGCCGGACUAGUCUCCCUUUUGAUGAGAAGAGUAAGUCUCAUUCUGAUUCAACAGCAGAGAUCAAAGAAAAGACUUCUGUUUUCUGGCCACCAGAUAUAUGUUAUCUGUGCUUAAAGAACUGAAAAACACACAUCAAAGGAGAAUUCUCUUGGAAAGAGAGGGUUCAAGCAUUAUUGUUAGGUGUGCUGGAAUCCUUUCCCGAGUCAGUACUGCUUUCUAGAACAGAACCAGGGAGAUCUAUUUGGAAUGUAUCUAACUCCAAAGAAACCAUCAGAGGUAAUAGUGGAGACGGGGUUUCACCAUGUUGGCCAGACUGGUCUUGAACUCCAGACCUCAUGAUUCGCCUGCCUCCGCCUCCCAAAGUGCUGGGAUUACAUGUGUGAGACACCACACUCAGCGGAUAGAGAGAAUUUUGACAGGAUGAUUACGGAGUUAGGAAUUUCCUACGAAGCUGGGUGAUAAAAGCACAUUGGAGAAAAACACAGAUAGCUUCAUUCUAUACCAGGAUCCAUUAUAUUUGUCUCUACUGUAAUUUGAGGAGAAUGAUAUCUGCUUCUCUAUCUUGUUGGGUUUUACAGAUGACGUAUUGAAAGUUCAAUAAAAUCUAUAAACAAUA
rnacentral:antisense_RNA from 1 species